rnacentral:rRNA from 1 species
GUCGAGAGGCUUCGUCAAUGGGGGAAACCCUGAACGAGCGACGCCGCGUGGGCGAUGAAGGCCGUAAGGUCGUAAAGCCCUGUCAGAGGGGAAGAAAUGCCUGGGUGAUAAUACCACCCGGGUUUGACGUUACCCUCAAAGGAAGCUCCGGCUAACUCCGUGCCAGCAGCCGCGGUAAUACGGGGGGAGCUAACGUUGUUCGGAAUCACUGGGCGUAAAGGGCGCGUAGGCGGUCCGGUAAGUGAUACGUGAAAGCCUCUGGCUCAACCAGAGAACUGCGUAUCAAACUGCCGGGCUUGAGGACGGGAGAGGAGACGGGAAUUCUCGGUGUAGCGGUGAAAUGCACUGAUAUCGGGAAGAACACCAGUGGCGAAGGCGCGUCUCUGGCCCGUUCCUGACGCUCAGGCGCGAAAGCUGGGGGAGCAAACAGGAUUAGAUACCCGAGUAGUCC